rnacentral:rRNA from 1 species
UACAGAGGGUGCAAGCGUUAUCCGGAAUUACUGGGCGUAAAGGGUGAGUAGGCGGUAGACUAAGUCAUAUGUGAAAAUCCAGGGCUCAACCCUGGACUUGCAUAAGAAACUGGUAAACUAGAGUGCAGGAGAGGUAAGCGGAAUUCCUAGUGUAGCGGUGAAAUGCGUAGAUAUUAGGAAGAACACCAGUGGCGAAGGCGGCUUACUGGACUGUAACUGACGCUGAGUCACGAAAGCGUGGGGAGCGAACAGG